AGUGAACGCUGGCGGCAGGCCUAAUACAUGCAAGUCGAACGGCAGCACAGCAGAGCUUGCUCUGUGGGUGGCGAGUGGCGGACGGGUGAGGAAUACGUGGGAAUCUGCCCAGUCGUGGGGGAUAACGUAGGGAAACUUACGCUAAUACCGCAUGCGCCCUUCGGGGAAAGCCGGGGGACCUUCGGGCCUGGCGCGAUUGGAUGAGCCCACGUCGGAUUAGCUAGUUGGCGGGGUAAAGGCCCACCAAGGCGACGAUCCGUAGCUGGUCUGAGAGGAUGAUCAGCCACACUGGAACUGAGACACGGUCCAGACUCCUACGGGAGGCAGCAGUAGGGAAUAUUGGACAAUGGGCGCAAGCCUGAUCCAGCCAUGCCGCGUGAGUGAAGAAGG
rnacentral:rRNA from 1 species